CAUCAGGCCAACUCGUUAAUCCACCAUACAUAUUUAAGUUGAAAAGGGGAGCUGACAAAGUUAGUUCACCCGGAUUUAGAAGGGCAGCUGCCGAAUUUGAUUCCUCCAGACUUGAAAGGGAAGCUGGUCCAGAAAUUCUAUUUGAGGUAGAAUAGAAGAUCUGUUCCAUGGACCAGAGAAUCUGUCCAUCUGGGGACAUGAUUCUGAUACGUCAUCGUGGGCUUUGUCCUCUCCUCACUGCCUGAAGACUAAAAGUCUCUGCUUGUCUGAUUUGGCCUCUUCAACUGACCUGAGAUCAGAGUUUGGGUGUUGAGCUCUUGGGAGCCUGGUGGUGAACAGCUGAUCCAGAGUCUGCUAACAAAACGCAAUAAAGCAUCUGAACAUUA